UACGUAGGGGGCAAGCGUUGUCCGGAUUUAUUGGGCGUAAAGCGCUCGCAGGUGGUUCGUUGCGUCGUGCGUGAAAGACCCCGGCUCAACUGGGGAGGGUCGUGCGAUACGGGCGAACUGGAGGCCAGUAGGGGGAUGCGGAAUUCCGGGUGUAGUGGUGGAAUGCGUAGAGAUCCGGAGGAACACCAGCGGCGAAGGCGGCAUCCUGGACUGGUCCUGACACUCAUGAGCGAAAGCGUGGGGAGCGAGUACCGG
rnacentral:rRNA from 1 species